GAACUGUGAGAUCCUAUAGGCAGGGAGGCCCCACGGGCUUCCAGAGGGGAUCAUAACCUAGAAACAGAGUAGAUCCCACCUCUGUCCCUCCCCUCUUGAGUUCCAGGACCGCUUGGUCUACCAAGUGAGCUGGAGGACAGCCAAGUGAGACAAAGUGAACAGAGAGAGACAGAGACAGCGACAGACAGACGACAAACUAAUUACAGUCCGAUUUGGGCCAGCGAAUAGGCACCAAGCUGGCCUGCUGUGCCCAGUUUGCCCAGUAAUUCCUGUUCUUUCCCCACUGUUUUCAGCCCCUGAUAACCAAGUGUUCCUAAUGACAGUGUAAGCCCUGCUCAGGGACUGACUUUCUCCUGUUGCCUCAGAUGAGGGAGCCUUUGUCUCAAGAUGGGGUAACUGUAUUAUGUGACUGUCCACUCUGACAGCACUCAGACCCCUCCCAUCCCUGUCAAGUCCUGCAAACUCAUAAGCCAAACUGUGAGGCUCUUGUCUUUCCCAAUCCAGGCAGUUCAGAGGCUGUGUUCCCCGAGCGUCACAGUUCCUGAGCUGGGCCGUUGCUAGGGCUUUUGUUCAUCGGGUCUGGGGUUUCCCUUCUUCUGUAUUGAAGAUUGGUCCUGAAGGGUCUCUUCCCAGUUUUCCUGCCGAAUCACGGAGUGUUCAUGGGCCCACUCCUGGAAGGAAGGGCCCAGUGCUCACAGAUGCUCUGACCUGAACACGGCAACAGCUGCAUCAUGACAGAGGACAGAGUGCCACCGCAUGCCAGAGUGACCCCGUGUCUGGAGAAGAAUGCAGACGUGAGGCAGAGUUUCUCUGUGUAGCGCUUGCUGUCCUGGAACAUGACCUGUAUCCGCCAGCGGCCACGGGUUCCUGGGUUCCUGAAAGGAAAGCUGGAGGUGGAUGGGAAGGACGGCGAGAGAAACAACGAGCCAAGACCAAGUUCUCUGAUCAAGGCUCAAUGUUUAAUGUACAGCUCUCAAUAAAUGUGUGAAAACCCAAG
rnacentral:lncRNA from 1 species